GUGACCUUCAGCAGCACGUAUACUAAAACUGGAACAGUACACAGAUUAGCAUGGCCUCUGCGCACAGGUAACACGCAAAUUCACGAAGCAUUCCAUAAUUUU
rnacentral:snRNA from 1 species